AGUGAACGCUGGCGGUAGGCCUAACACAUGCCAGUCGAACGGCAGCACAGUAAGAGCUUGCUCUUACGGGUGGCGAGUGGCGGACGGGUGAGGAAUACAUCGGAAUCUACUUUUUCGUGGGGGAUAACGUAGGGAAACUUACGCUAAUACCGCAUACGACCUACGGGUGAAAGCAGGGGAUCUUCGGACCUUGCGCGAUUGUAUGAGCCGAUGUCGGAUUAGCUAGUUGGCGGGGUAAGGGCCCACCAAGGCGACGAUCCGUAGCUGGUCUGAGAGGAUGAUCAGCCACACUGGAACUGAGACACGGUCCAGACUCCUACGGGAGGCAGCAGUGGGGAAUAUUGGACAAUGGGCGCAAGCCUGAUCCAGCCAUACCGCGUGAGUGAAGAAGGCCUUCGGGUUGUAAAGCCCUUUUGUUGGGAAAGAAAAGCAGCAGGUUAAUACCCCGCUGUUCUGACGGUACCCAAAGAAUAAGCACCGGCUAACUUCGUG
rnacentral:rRNA from 1 species